GAUGAACGCUGGCGGCGUGGAUAAGGCAUGCAAGUCAAGGGGGCCCGCAAGGGCAACCGGCAGACGAGGUAGUAAUAAGUAGGUACGAACUUUCGAGUCGCGAAUAGCUCGGCGAAAGCCGAGGUAAUACGCGAUGGUCCCUCCGGGGUAAAGAUUUAUCGCUCGAAAAUCGGCCUGCUCGGUAUCAGCUAGUUGGUAAGGUAACGGCUUACCAAGGCAAUGACGCCUAGGGGACCUGAGAGGGUGACCCCCACCGAUGGGACUGAGACACGGCCCAGACUCCUACGGGAGGCAGCAGUGGGGAAUAUUGGACAAUGGGCGCAAGCCUGAUCCAGCAAUGCCGCGUGGAUGAAGAAGGUCUUCGGAUUGUAAAGUCCUUUCGGCGGGGACGAUGAUGACGGUACCCGCAGAAGAAGCCCCGGCUAACUUCGUGCCAGCAGCCGCGGUAAUACGAAGGGGGCUAGCGUUGCUCGGAAUGACUGGGCGUAAAGGGCGCGUAGGCGGAUUGGUCAGUCGGGCGUGAAAUUCCUGGGCUUAACCUGGGGGCUGCGUUCGAGACGGCUGGUCUAGAGUUUGGAAGAGGGUCGUGGAAUUCCCAGUGUAGAGGUGAAAUUCGUAGAUAUUGGGAAGAACACCGGUGGCGAAGGCGGCGACCUGGUCCUUGACUGACGCUGAGGCGCGAAAGCGNNNNGAGCAAACAGGAUUAGAUACCCUGGUAGUCCACGCUGUAAACGAUGUGCGCUGGAUGUUGGGCAGCCUNGCUGUUCAGUGUCGUAGCUAACGCGGUAAGCGCACCGCCU
rnacentral:rRNA from 1 species